GUUUAUAAUUUCGAUUAGAAAUCUCUAUUUAAGAGGUGAAAAUACAUGUGAGUUAGAGUAAAUUUUACACUAAAAAGUAUAGAGAUAGGUUGGAGAUGCUCUUAGAAUCUUCCGGUUC
rnacentral:sRNA from 1 species